rnacentral:lncRNA from 1 species
UAUUUAUUUUUGAAAGUCUCCUGCCCAAUAAAAUCCCAAUGUGACUUUGUUUUUCUGACUAGUCCUACUGAAAUCUUCAAGAUUACUCACCUUCUGAGUAGCUGUAUAUGUGCUUUGCUGGAGGAGAGCUCAAGGAUCUGAUCCUUAAAGCACUGAAAAUUUGCCCCCAAAUGUUCCUUGUGUUCUUUCCUCUUGGACUCCCAAGGAUUGCAUGGUAUGUGUCUAUCCAAAUUGCUAUCACCCUCAAUACUGCAGCUUUGAGCUGUUGUGGAACUGGCUACUUCUUCUGCAAUCCAGAACCUGUUUUACUGCUGCUUUUAAUUGUCAGCCCUCCAGUGCCUGCGAAUAGGGUACAUAUACAGAUGCACUGACACAGUCAUUGAAGGUCUACCAGACAAAGUGUGCUAUUGUGAUAUAAGUCAGGUGGGAGUUGAAAGACCUUUAAAUUCAAAAUUUCUACUCUGUACACACCUGCACCCAGAAGGGGGAGACUGGGUAGUAUCUUUCACCCAAAUAAAUGUGUUAAGAUUAAAAACA